rnacentral:rRNA from 1 species
UAGUGCUUUCGUCCUGGAAUGGAGAAAGCACCAAACGCUCCGGCGCCGCAGGAUGCGACUGCGGCCGAUUAGGUAGACGGUGGGGUAACGGCCCACCGUGCCGAUAAUCGGUACGGGUAGUGAGAGCUAGAACCCGGAGACGGACUCUGAGACAAGAGUCCGGGCCCUACGGGGCGCAGCAGGCGCGAAACCUUUACACUGCGCGACAGCGCGAUAGGGGGACCCCAAGUGCGAGGGCAUACAGUCCUCGCUUUUUCCGACCGUAAGGUGGUCGGCGAAUAAGAGCUGGGCAAGACCGGUGCCAGCCGCCGCGGUAAUACCGGCAGCUCGAGUGAUGGCCGCUAUUAUUGGGCCUAAAGCGUCCGUAGCCGGCUAGACAGGUCCGUCGGGAAAUCCACCCGCUCAACGGGUGGGCGUCCGGCGGAAACCAGUUAGCUUGGGACCGAGCGACCUGAGGGGUACGUCUGGGGUAGGAGUGAAAUCCCGUAAUCCCGGACGGACCAUCGGUGGCGAAAGCGCCUCAGGAGAGCGGAUCCGACGGUGAGGGACGAAAGCUAGGGUCUCGAACCGGAUUAGAUACCCGGGUAGUCCUAGCCGUAAACGAUGCUCGCUAGGUGUG